CUGCUUGUACUCACUCUGUCAAAAAUAAAGGAAUUUUUUUUUUUUCCUUAAAAAGAGAUGGAGCUUGAGAGAUCUCCCUUGCUCCUUUGGCCCUGUGAGGACAAGACUGCCACCUAAGAGUUAGGAGUAGGCUCUCAGUGAAUACAAAAUCUAUGGCACCACUUACCGACCUCCAGAACUAUAAGGUUAUGAAAAGACACCUGCGAGAAGUUCUCCUAUUUACUUCUGCAUUUAAUCCACUGUAACAACCUAUAUUAUGCAGCUUCUAGAAAAUUCCAUGAUAUGCUCAGGAUAAAGAAAGAAUGAAAAGGUUUGGAAACAAUAUGCUGGACCCUGAAUAUAUGCCAAAUAUAUUGUUACAAAACCUUAUAUUAACUUGGUUGAACCUCAAUGGCCUGCUGAAACUCAGUCUUUAGACAAAUUCAAAGCUGCUUAUUGGAAUUAAAUCAACACCCUAAGAAAUAAGGUAAACAUUCUAGAUUUCUUUCUU